AGGGCCUGAUUCCGCAUCCAUUAGAUACCCAUUGAGAGUUCUGAGUGCCAAAGGAAGGAAGGAUUGGAUCUGAAGAGUACUUAAACACUUUGGUUUUUAUUGCUUAUCAAAGGAGUACACAGCUGAUGAGAAACUGAGGCAUAGAGGAUAAGUAACUUGCCCAAAGUCACACAAGAAGUCUGUAAUAGAGGAGGGAAUUGAACAUGGGUCUCUUAAGUCUGAGGCUAGUGCUCCUAACCACUGGACCAUCCUCUCUACCGUACCUCCCUGUUAGACAAAAAUGCUGCAAAAGGGAUAAGAGAGAAGAAAAAUAUUGAACUGGCAGAUGGCUGCAACUCAUUACUGUGUGGAACUACAGCACUGAGGAUCUCACUAAAGACCGACUUCCUUCCCUGAUGCCUGGCUGCUUAAAAGAAAAAUUAUUUACAAAGGGGAUAUCAGACUGCAUCUAACUUAACAGAGGUUCUUACAGAAGAUGCUGCAUUCAGUCUGCCACUCAAUUCACCUGCUCUUGGACUUUUUCAAUUGGACAGUUACUUCUCAGGAACAAGGCUAAACUUGGAAAUGGCUGCGAUUAUGUUCCUCUUCAAGACUCAGACUCUUCAAAAUUAACGAGGAAUUGGCCAUGGCCGAUGAUCCCACAAAUGCCAUCCUGAACUUCCACAUCCGGUACCAGAAACUGAGAUCUGAAAGAAAGAGAUUAAUCAAAAGGACAUAAUGACAUUUAAGGGAGAUUCGGCUCAGAAAACAGGUUCGACACGAGCAGUCAACUGAGGAGGUUUAAAAAUAACCUGCUGUAUUACAAAAGUCAUGGGGGAAACAAAAUGGUGGGAAGUUAGUGCAGAACAGUACAAAUGAAGCAGCUGCUGCUAUCUGAAAAGGCCUUAUAACAGUUUUGCUUUCUCUACAUGAUAUUUAGUAAGCAACACUUUUCUGAACUCAUCAGCACCUGUGACUAAAUGCAACAUACUUUAUCGGUUGGCUUCGGAGACACAGCAUUUGGAAAAAAACCUCAUUGCUCACUAUUCCUUAGAUGCCUAUAUCAAGUAGAAAUAGCUAUAGGAGUGUCUUCACGUGACAGCUGAAGUCUGUGUAGGUCAAUGAAUCAGCAGCAGUCUUGUUGAAUCACAGGUGCACAAACAGCAGGUUAACAUGAAUUAGGUUUUUUUUAAACCUACAUAUUGACAAAAGCAUGCUCUCUGAACUGAUGAGAAACUAUAGAAGAACUUGAAAAGUGAAAGACAAUAGUGAUGGAAGGAAAAAAAGGAUUUCAUUUAUUUUUUCUGUUUCAUAUUUUACUAAACUCACCUCCAGUUCAUACUGUAUUAUAUUCUGUUUGAGACACAGAGCUGGUACACCUGCCACCAAACCAAAUACCAAACCAUGGAAAGAAGCAACAAAUAUCUUCUUAAAGGAUCUGAGUUAUUUUAGUUUGGAAGCACAAAGAACUCCUCUUACAAUACUUAAAUAAGGGUAUGAUUUUUUAAACUAACCGGUGUAAAUAUGUUAUGAAAUUCCCUUUCUCCAUCCUGUUUUUUCAUUAGUUGGAAACAAAUAUUUUAUGUUCAAUGUAAUUAUAAAUAUGGCUUCAUUGCCAUGUGUCUGAAACAGAUCACAUUACAAGAAUGUACCAGUGGCCAUUAUUAGAAGAAAGCACCUAAGAAGCCAAAUAGCAAUCAACUUUACCAUGCACAAAGUCUUCUCUGUAUUAGAAUUUAGUCUCAUUCCCAUUGCUUCAAAUUCAUGACAAAUGGCAUUGCUUUACAUUUCCACACACAGUUUACUGUACAUUGUACUGUAUUAUAACUGCAUAUGCAGAAGGGGGCUGAAUUAAGUCUGCAGGGCAACGUUCAUACUGGCGUUUCCUAACUUGUGCAUGUUUGACUUUGCAACCUUUAAUGCUUAACUUUGUAUUUCCUAAUAUGGUUUCAUUUGAGAAUAACCAUAACUAAUGUUAAAUAAAGGGGCUUUUUUUUGGUUUGAGAAUUUAAAUUGGGACUGAGCAAGAAUUAUAUGCAUGUAUUCAGAUCAAGCCACGAAAGUGGAAUAUUACGAGUGGCGACUACAUAUAUUGAUACAUUUUCUAAUGUCUUCUAGCCCUGAUAAAAGGAAAGAGGUUUAUCCAGCUUUCUUUCAGAACAGGCUAUUUACUUUUAUAGUCUCAGCAGAAUGUGGACUAGAUCCACUGAAUGUCAAACAACCUUUGUGUAAUUGUAGAGAAUCAAAACUUCACGUUACUUUCUUUUGUAAACUCUACCAAUUUCAUAUGCAAUUUCUUCAUUCAGUCAAUAAAAUAAUUUCACUGGUCAACACAAAGAGUUAUGUUAAAGGGUUCUCAUAUUGUGUACAAUAUAAAUUGGCCCCCAGCUGCACAUCCCAUAAAUAUUCAUAAACUCAUUUCUGACAUUACCAUAUGGUUAAAUAAUGUAACUCCCUUAUGCUUGUUUAAUACACCUUCAAUAUUUUGCAUGAUGAUAUAAGUAGAGGCUGUGAAAAAAACCUGAAAUGUACAUCCCCCUCACCCCAGUAACCUCCAGUGGAUAGUGCAGAUUUUCAGUGAGAGGAGCCAGUAUUUCCAGAGGUUAUGCUUAGUAUUAACAUGUAAUCAUUUAGGACAGGACUAUUAGUUCAGUGGGAGCAGAGUUAGACCAAUGCUGAUAGAUACAAAGGGUAAGAUUUGCAAAAGCUAAGUGGGCUUUCAUUAGCUAUAGCUAGGCUUGGCAGAAUUAAUUAUCAAUAUUGUCCAUUGAGGUUAUACAUAGAAGCUUAUUUUUAAGCCUCCCCCUGCUGCCUUUUUUUUUUAAACCAAUUUAAAUAAUUUUCACAAUUGCACAACAUCAUGGCUUUUAAGCAUCGUUUCCCCCAAUUUUUAAUUUAUUUAAAUUUUCACAGCGGGGAGAAAUGAUUGUGGGGAGAAAAGACAACAGGGCUGAUCAGACAGUAAUGAUGAUGCUGGACUCCUUGAAUUUGAGAACAUGGACAAUCAGAGUUUGUACUAAUGAGUCUUCACACAACUCCACAGACCAAAUUAGAAUGUUGAAAGCUGUGAGAGAAUUUGUUUAAAGUGGAUGAGCAGUUGUGCACCAACUCGCACACUCUUGGUCAACCAAACCAUAUUCAGUAGCAAGGUAAACUGACACAACUGAAGGACUUGCUUGCUGCAGGUUUAUUUUCAGAGUAACAGUCUCUUAGGCCAAUUACCCAGGCUAAUGAGCCCGGUCCACCCAGCCAGAGCCCCAUUAGCCAUUGUGUUUCAGAAUAAAUCCCUGUAGGCCUUCCUGGCUACCAUAACAUCCCAGAGAGCAAAGCUCACCACCAUACUUCGCCCUACAGCACAGUCUCCUACUGGCCCUGAUUCCACCAUCCCACCAAGGGAAGGAGGAGAGCUUGGACUCAGAGGCGGCAGGUGAGACAAUAAUUAUUUCAUGGCAGUAGACAUUGAUUUCAAAAAGUUAAAUCCUUAUUACCCUUAAAAAUCAAAUCGUCAACAUCGCAUGUCAAAACAUACAACGUAAAUACCUUUAAAAUCAAACUCUAGUAAAUUUUCAAGCAAAAUUUUUCUUACUUGGCCUAGCUGUACAUUUGUCAGUUUCCAUGUGCACAUUGAAGUCGAUGUUUACUGAUGUUUAGCCGAGAUCUAGCGGUUACCUUGAUGAACAAACUUAUAUCCUGUAUAAAAUUAGUGCUAAAGAAGUACACCCAUCCUUACGAAUGCAGCAUGUUGAAAAGUCACGUCUGGCAUGUUUUGAUUAAGUCCAGACAGAGCAUCUUGAAAGGAUGAAGAAUCUAAGUUAGAAUGUGAGACAGAGGAGGCAGUGAUUGAGCUACAGAUUUCUCUGGCAACUGAAUGGGAUGGGAACUUGCCUUAGGGGACGUCUACAUUGCAAAUAGAUGCCUGCGGUUGGCCCUUUCCAUCUGACUCAGGCUCAUGGGGUUGGGUUAAGGGGCUGUUUAAUUGCUUGGGCUGGAGCUCUGAGACCAUGGGCAGAAGGUGAAGCUUCCCCUUGGGGAGGCUAGCCCCCUGCCUUGCCUCUUCUGGCAGAGGCACAGCCCCCUCAUGGCCCCAACCAGGGCAAGGGGGGCAGAGAGCUCAGCCCUAGCCUGGGUCCAGCUCUCAGUCUCAUCCAGGAGCACAGCAGAGCGCAUUGCCCUGGCUGGAGCUCGG